rnacentral:tRNA from 1 species
AACUAAUGAACUUGAACAAGUACGUAUUUUGAAAAUACGCAAAAGAGUAAUAAUCUCUAUUAGUUU